CUGCAGAUCCGGCACAACUUGAUUCAUUUCCUGCAAAUAUAUAUGAACCAAUUGAAUUUUUGCAUAUAAACCCAAUACCAAUGCGUAUAUCAGCAGCAGUGAAUGCCACAUCCACAUUUAUUUUUAGAAUACCAGUUUCAGGGGGGAUCCAAAUAGUUCCUCUAUCCUCCUUCUUUCCUUUCACCUGUAUAUGGAAGUUUUUUUGUUCUCUCUUAACACAAGUAUCAAUCAGUUUAGCCAAUGUCAUACGGUUUACAUCAAUGCCUUGAAAUAUUUUUUUACAACGAGCUUUCCAAAUUUCCCAAGUAGCAAUAACACAAAAUGAACUCCAAGAAGGCUUAUCAACAAGCCAAGAUGUUGGAGGUUCAAGCCAAUAAGUAAACCAUUGUUCAGUAGUAAGAUUUUUAAAGUGAGUGAGUCUGAAGUUCCAAGAGCU
rnacentral:lncRNA from 1 species